rnacentral:rRNA from 1 species
UACGUAGGGUGCAAGCGUUAAUCGGAAUUACUGGGCGUAAAGGGCGCGUAGGCGGCCUGCUAAGUCGAACGUGAAAUCCCUGGGCUCAACCCAGGAACUGCGUCCGAUACUGGUUGGCUUGAAUCCGGGAGAGGGAUGUGGAAUUCCAGGUGUAGCGGUGAAAUGCGUAGAUAUCUGGAGCAACACCGGUGGCGAAGGCGACAUCCUGGACCGGUAUUGACGCUGAGGCGCGAAAGCCAGGGGAGCAAACGGG